AAUACGUUCCCCGGGCCCUUGUUACACAACCGCCCCGUCAAGCCAUGGGAGCCGGAGGUACCUGAAGUCGAUGACCGUAAGGAGUCGCCCAAGGUAAAUUCGGUGACUGGGGCU
rnacentral:rRNA from 1 species